rnacentral:rRNA from 1 species
AUUGAACGCUGGCGGCAUGCUUUACACAUGCAAGUCGAACGGUAACAGGGAGCUUGCUCCGCUGACGAGUGGCGAACGGGUGAGUAAUGCGUCGGAACGUGCCGAGUAGUGGGGGAUAACGCAGCGAAAGUUGUGCUAAUACCGCAUACGUACUGAGGUAGAAAGCGGGGGACCUUCGGGCCUCACGCUAUUCGAGCGGCCGACGUCUGAUUAGCUAGUAGGUGAGGUAAAGGCUCACCUAGGCGACGAUCAGUAGCGGGUCUGAGAGGAUGAUCCGCCACACUGGGACUGAGACACGGCCCAGACUCCUACGGGAGGCAGCAGUGGGGAAUUUUGGACAAUGGGCGAAAGCCUGAUCCAGCCAUGCCGCGUGUCUGAAGAAGGCCUUCGGGUUGUAAAGGACUUUUGUCGGGGAGGAAAUCCCCAGCGCUAAUACCGCUGGGGGAUGACAGUACCUGAAGAAUAAGCACCGGCUAACUACGUGCCAGCCGCCGCUGUAAAAC